GCCGAGAUAGCUCAGGCUGGCCAGAGCAGCUCCCUUGUAAGGAGCUCGUCGGGGGUUCGAAUCCCUCUCUCGGCU
rfam:Halococcus morrhuae DSM 1307 contig_128, whole genome shotgun sequence.